GCCGCGUUAGCAUAGUGGUUAUUGCGUCGCACUUGUACUCUGCACAUGCGAAGGUCGCUUGUUCAACUCAGGCACGUGGCA